UGGGGAAUUUUGGACAAUGGGCGAAAGCCUGAUCCAGCAAUGCCGCGUGUGUGAAGAAGGCCUUCGGGUUGUAAAGCACUUUUGUCCGGAAAGAAAUCCUUGGCUCUAAUACAGUUGGGGGAUGACGGUGCCGGAAGAAUAAGCACCGGCUAACUACGUGCCAGCAGCCGCGGUAAUACGUAGGGUGCAAGCGUUAAUCGGAAUUACUGGGCGUAAAGCGUGCGCAGGCGGUUUGCUAAGACCGAUGUGAAAUCCCCGGGCUCAACCUGGGAACUGCAUUGGUGACUGGCAGGCUAGAGUAUGGCAGAGGGGGGUAGAAUUCCACGUGUAGCAGUGAAAUGCGUAGAGAUGUGGAGGAAUACCGAUGGCGAAGGCAGCCCCCUGGGCCAAUACUGACGCUCAUGCACGAAAGCGUGGGGAGCAAACAGGAUUAGAUACCCUGGUAGUCCACGCCCUAAACGAUGUCAACUAGUUGUUGGGGAUUCAUUUCCUUAGUAACGUAGCUAACGCGUGAAGUUGACCGCCUGGGGAGUACGGUCGCAAGAUUAAACUC
rnacentral:rRNA from 1 species